rnacentral:piRNA from 1 species
UGGAAGAAACCUAUUGGAGAU